GCAGGAGGCUUCAUGAUAGCAUCCAGAGUACAUGUCCCAAGUAUGUCCAGCCCCAUCUUCUGAUCCUAGUGCAGAGCAGCUCCCGGUCUGAUGAUUAAGGUGUGCAUAUAGGAGAUGUGGGUUCGUAUUCCCUUGGACUUAGAUGCUGAAUCCAGAUCCCCUGUACUCUGCAUGUGUCUUCCAGCUUCUGAGUUGCUGGACAUAAAACCACAGAUUUCCACCAUUCUGCCCAUGAACAUGACACAGAGAAGACAGAUGACAGUAGCUGUCCUCCUUCAAUACUGAGGAAAAGGCCACCUGUGGACCAGGCUGUGGGGGAAAAGCGGAAAGCAGAGAGAAGGGUUCGAUUUCGUGAGCCGGAAGAAGUCAUUGAGCAUGUUAUUUCCUGCUGUGACUACGUAGUGGUACAUGACAGGUCUUCACCUGGAUUGCCUAUGCUCCUGGGGCUAUCAUUUUGUGUGGUACUGAUCCUGGCUGCAAGUCUCUUCUACACCAGCAUGAAGCAAGAUACCAAAGUCCUGGAAGAGUUUCAAUCCCGACUUGUUAUCUUCUUUCUUCAGAUAAGACACAUUGCUCAUAGAUGCUGGACCUGGUUUACAAGGUAGUAGCGAUGUCCUCCAUUUGCAGGAAGGCAGCACUGAUAAUCACCACGUGUCAGAGAGAACCUCCCAGCCCCCUCAGUCCACACGUAAGGAACACAUGAGUAUCCACCUUGAAGAGCAAAAAAAGCCACCCAUUUUGUGCACUUUCUAACAUCUACUUGUUCUCUCUUUUUUAAAAUAUAUAUAUUUUUUAAUAUUUCUGAAUGAUAGUAGUAGCACUAAGAGGUCCCACCAAACUGAUGUUCCAUCACCCUUAGCAGCAAACAAGGGUAUGAGUUUAGUCCCCUGAAGAGACUAUAAACUGUUGCUAUAAGGAGCAGAGGCAGAGAGAGAAAUUCAUUGAUCUGUGCACACAGAAGCACAUUGAAUAGAAGUCUCCUGAGUCUCAGGUCAAAGAAUAAACACCAAACCAUUUUUCUCCUCAAGCCUCUUACGUGCUAUUCUGCAAAGUUUAACAUAAAGCUGAACUAUUGCACAAACACUGCUCUGCUGGCCAAAGGCUUGGCAAGCUGCUAUAUUUAUAUACUUGAAAUGAUUGCUAGUAAAAAUCUCAGCAAAUG
rnacentral:lncRNA from 7 species